UAAGGAAUAUUGGUCAAUGGACGCAAGUCUGAACCAGCCAUGCCGCGUGAAGGAUUAAGGCCCUCUGGGUUGUAAACUUCUUUUAUAGGGGAAGAAAUGUGACGGUUCUCCGUCACUUGACGGUACCCUGGGAAUAAGCACCGGCUAACUCCGUGCCAGCAGCCGCGGUAAUACGGAGGGUGCAAGCGUUAUCCGGGUUCACUGGGUUUAAAGGGUGCGUAGGUGGGCAGAUAAGUCAGUGGUGAAAUCUUCCGGCUUAACCGGGAAACUGCCGUUGAUACUAUUUGUCUUGAAUUAUCUGUAGGUAAGCGGAAUAUGUCAUGUAGCGGUGAAAUGCUUAGAUAUGACAUAGAACACCAAUUGCGAAGGCAGCUUACUACAUAUAAAUUGACGCUGAGGCACGAAAGCGUGGGGAUCAAACA
rnacentral:rRNA from 1 species